UACAGAGGGUGCGAGCGUUAAUCGGAAUUACUGGGCGUAAAGCGUGCGUAGGCGGUUAUGUAAGUUAGGUGUGAAAUUCCUGGGCUUAACCUGGGAACUGCGCCUAAUACUGUGUAGCUAGAGUAUUGUAGAGGAAAGUAGAAUUUCCGGUGUAGCGGUGAAAUGCGUAGAUAUCGGAAGGAAUAUCAGUGGCGAAGGCGACUUUCUGGACAAAUACUGACGCUGAGGCACGAAAGCAUGGGGAGCAAACAGG
rnacentral:rRNA from 1 species